rnacentral:tRNA from 1 species
UCCCUGGUGGUCCAUGGUUAGGGCUUAGCGUUUUCACUGCUGUGGUCAGGGUUCAAUCCCCAGUUGGAGAA